rnacentral:rRNA from 1 species
UACGUAGGGGCCGAGCGUUGUCCGGAGUUACUGGGCGUAAAGCGCGCGCAGGCGGCUCGUCAAGCCUGACGUGAAAGCCCCCGGCUCAACCGGGGAGGGUCGUCGGGGACUGGCGGGCUUGAGGUCGGCAGGGGUUGGUGGAAUUCCCGGUGUAGUGGUGGAAUGCGUAGAGAUCGGGAGGAACACCAGUGGCGAAGGCGGCCCUCUGGGCCGGGUCUGACGCUGAGGCGCGAAGGCGUGGGGAGCGAGUCCGG